rnacentral:tRNA from 2 species
GGGUCGGUGCUGGAGCGGUCAAUCAGGUGUGGCUGUAAACCACAUGGCUUACGCCUACGGGGGUUCGAAUCCCUCCCGGCCCA